CACAAUGUAAGCUUACCUCAGCAGUUGUAGAAACAGAUUGUUGUCUUGCCUCCUGAACAACGAUUUCAAAGUUCCACCCUGCCUCCUAAUUAGCACCAACUGUGUGACUUCCUCCUAAGCAGAAACAUACAUUUUAUUAUAAUACUGUACUUACAACAUUGCUAUGAAUCAAAGGAAAAACAACCACAAACCCUAUACUUAAACGUACCUAAACAGCGGAAUGAAACCAAUUUUGGCCCUGAUUCUAUAACUCUCUAGUCCAGAGCAGUAAUCUGAAACAUAUAACACUGCAAAUCAGAUUUUUCACAUAAUAACAGACACAAAACAUUCAAAGAGUCACAAAAGCCACAAACACAUUCACAAAAGCCACAAACACAUAAUAACAGAUAACUUACUGGUAUGAAAUGAAUCGGAAGGAAAAAUCCCAAAUUUGAUAAAUUAGGGUUUCUGUCUUCUGGAUUUUGUUCGACGAACUGCAUAUGAAGCAAUAAACCCAAAAAUUAGUAUACAAUUUAUACAUGCAGGGAUAAACAAAAAUAAGGAAUGGCAGAAUAAAAAACUUAUCUCGAUUUGGGGAAGGAAUCCUUUGCAUGCACGAUUCGAACCAGAUUUUUGCGGAUUGAAGGAGUUUUGUAGUUGAAUAUGGGUAGGUGAUGAUUAUAGUGGGGAUGGAUUCGAUGAAUAUCAACAGAAAAGGAAGAUUUGGGAGAAAAAUUAGGGUUUCAGUGGAGUUCUUUCGAGAGGAAGUCGGGAGAAAAUUCUGGAGAGAGGCUCAGAGGCGUGAAAAAAUGGCUGAAAUGAAACCCUAGUCUGAAAAUUUUGCUUUUAUACCCUAUAUCAAUACUACGUCGUUUUAACUCACGGAUUGGAUAUGGGUCGGAUAAGUUAUUAUCCGUAUCCGCCCAUUACCCGAAACUCGCGGGUCACGGGCCUGACCGAAACCGGUAAACAUCCAUCGGGCCCAGACUUUCGGGCUGUAUUCGCGGGCGGGCUCCACUGGGUAACCUAAACCCGUGGGCUGACUGCCAAGCCUAGCCAUGUGUCGCCUUUAAAUUGGCCGUUAUACCAAUUUUAGUUUACUUUUGAAAAUUAAUACCUUGAACCCUCUAUCUAGACAAUCUAAUUAAAUUCACUAUAUGAUAAAAAUCUCGAAAAGAAAUCACGGUUAAACCGAAACACUAUACUUAAAACCUUCCACAUCUCAAGACCUACCCACACACACAAGUAUUACAACACCAAUUUGAAAAAAUACAUGACAUUCGAUACAUUUUACUUCAUAAAUGUACACAUGAUUAUAGUUUCAGACCCUAAUGAGUUAUCCAUCAUCUACAAAAAUUCGACUCUCACAUUAUUCUCCACCACCAUGUACAAAUGCAAAACCGAACUCAAAUGUCUAACCAAUUUGUAUCACCAUCAAAAAAUAUUGUAUAAAAAGGUAUAAAAGAAGUAAGAAAAGCUCAUGAGCUUAAUUACCAGUAAAUGAGCCAAAACGUCAACAAUUUUCUCCAAUUUUUCUAAUCUAUAGCUUUGGUGUUCCACGCCGUUUGUUAACUCUGUUAGUAAAUACAGAUUCUUCUUCAACUAUUAAUUAGCAUUUUACUCCAACGUUAAUCAACUAAUUUCAAUACAAAACUCCACUCCCAAAAAUUAAUUUCGAAGGUAAACUUUUAUUUUACCGAGUUGAAGGUAAAAUUUAAUUAUUAACCUGUGAAAAGAAUUUGCUUAGUAAUUCUUGUAUGCCACCCAUCACUUUCGUCGCCGUCCUUAAAGCUUCCUCGAUCGAUCCCUUUGGAUUUUUCGAAUUAUUGAAACUUUUAUUAUAAAAAUGUACAAAGAAUAUAUAAAAACCUUGAUUAUUAUUAUUAUCCAAUUAAAAAUUGUUAAGUCUACCUUCUCAGAAGCAGGACCGAGUUUCCGAGUCACCCGAUUGACUGCCUCAACGUUCUUCCUUUCCGUUUUCUACCACUCGAUCGGUAGAGUUAGUUGCCAACUCAUUAUCCGACUCAGCUUCUCCUCUACCUUCAUCCUCUGAAUCUCCAUUACCCUUUUCCUCUUCUGCCAAAUCGUAAGCCACGCGUGGAUCAGCUUCGCACGUGUGGCAAGCUCCCUCACAUUUGCAGCUGCUUCUGCCUUCGCGUUCGCGAAUCUUCACUGGAUUAACGUACCGUUCACAACUUCGAAAUUCCGCCGCCGCCGCUCCCCUCGCCGACGCAGCUACUCGAUCCGCGCUCACUCCUUCCCUCCCUCCCUUGUCUUUGGAGACUUAAUAAGCCACUACAAAUAUUAAUUACUGAAAUUUCCUGUGAUAAAUUCAUCUUGUCGUCGUAAAAACUAAUCAAAACCUUAUUUAAUUAAACUCUUUUUUGUAAUUGUAUUAAUGUCUAGUUGAAAGCCAGGUAUAAUAUAAUUAUUUUACAAAAAAGGUAUAUUAUAAUUAACUUCAUUACAAAAAAUAAUCAUAGCUGAAAUUUGAUUUAAUUAAUUAAAUUAAAUUACACAUGAUGCAAAAGAAGUAAACCCUAACCCCUAGCGCACGUCAAUCACUCCGACGAUGACUUCUUGCUACCUUCCUUCUUCCUCACGCAACAUAUAACGUAGUCCUCGAUACCACCACCACACCUGUCCGCCAAAACCCUACCAAGACGAUACUCAUGCAUCACCCAUUCCCCAGCCUCCGAAGAAGAACUCGAACUCGAACCACCACCGUGAUUGAUGACCUUGUAAGAGAAAGACCUAUCGAAACCGAUGGUGGUGGACUCACCGUCGGUGCUGUAGACUAUAGGCUCCUCCUUCUGCGACUUCCACACGCAGUUUCCGAAGCUCCUCUCGACUCGCUUGCCCUUCUCGUUCUUCUUCUUCCGCUUGGUAAAGAAGUAGAGCUCCGACUCGUUGACCUCGUCCUUGAAGUGUCUCUUCCAUGGCUCGUCGGGGGAGUAGAGGUCGCACUCGAUUAUACCGUCAAAGGGCGGAGGAGGGUGGUUGGGGUUGACGGUGGCUCUGAUGGCUAACGGGUAGAGGUAUGUGAGGAUUAGUUCUUGGUCCGAUGGUUUGAAUCGGUACCCUACUGCUAGGUUCUUGAUCUUCAUUCUUGCAGCAAGAUGCAAAUCAAGUAACUAGUUGAUUACUAGUGAUUAAUUAGGGAGAGUGAAGGUUUAGCUUAGGUUAAUUAGUGUGUUAGUUAUAUAUAGGGGUGCUAAUUAACUAGUAUUUGAUUAGGACUAGGACACGUGUAGACAUUUCAUUACUUGCUGGGUAAUCAAAUAACUAAUUUCCUUCACGUACGUACGCUGUACGAUAUGUAUUUUUAUUUGAGUGCGCAUUAUUUAUAAAUGGAUAACUUUUGAAAAAAUAAUUCAAAAAUACAACUUAAUUAGCAUAUCUUACUCAGAAUGGUGAUUAGUGUCUUUUGAACUACAUCUUAAUUUAGAUUAAUGAGNNNNNNNNNNNNNNNNNNNNNNNNNNNNNNNNNNNNNNNNNNNNNNNNNNNNNNNNNNNNNNNNNNNNNNNNNNNNNNNNNNNNNNNNNNNNNNNNNNNNNNNNNNNNNNNNNNNNNNNNNNNNNNAGUUAAAAUGAAGUAAACUAGUGGAUCCAAAAAAUUUAAAAAUAAAUAAAUAACGGAGAAUUACCAUUUUCUUCUCCGUGAGAUUACGACAUUUAUAAUAGUUAGAGUGAUUUAAAAAAAACGUAGGCCGGCGAAUAGUACGCCUCGGGAUGAGCGGGGGAGAAGAAAAUGACAAUUCUCCGUUAUUUAUUUAUUUUUUACUUUUCAAGAUCCACUAGUUUACGUCAUUUUAACUUGGCGACGUGCUAGAUCUUAAAAAACCUACAAUAAUAGAUAAGUGUAUGUAAAAUACUACUAUAAUGGCAUCUUAUGCAGAAUCUUAAAUAUAAUGAAAUUCGGUGCAAUAACGCAAGACUGUAGUAGCAUGUGCCGCAUUUUACUCAUGAACUUUCAUAAUUUCAUUUGUCUUACUUAUGGAUAUUUAUGUCAUUUUUAUUUCAAUUUUUAAUUUAAUUAUUUUUCAAAUUAAAAUCUCUCUAAAUCAACCAUCCAAAACAAUUUAUUUUUCAAAAUAACACGAGUUUCAAAUUCCGUAAUAAUUUAGAAGGAAGACGAGGUGGUUAAAUAGGAGGGGAGGAGAUGAAAAUAGAAGGAGAAAAUUCAAUGGAGAGUGGCAGAGCCAUUGACAAUUGGAGGCAUGUGGUCAAAUGGAAACAUAGCGCGGUCUACAUUGUUCAAAAAAGAUGAGAGCCACGUAUAUUUUUGCGUGGGUAACUUCUCAAAGUGGAAUAUUGAUUGAGUUCGUGCACUAUAUUUAAAGGAGGAAGACGAAAGUAGAACGAGAAAGGCUGAUGAGAGUGCAUGCCCCAUUGAUCAUUAGAGGCAUGUAUCUAUGUGCUCAAAUGAAAUCUAGCGAGGUCUAUAUUGUUCGUAACGAGUGGAAAUGUAGGGGAUUCAACUCUGUACUUUUCGCAUGUAAAACGAAAUGCUCUAUUAUUUAAAGCUUAAUUUAAAAUAAACGAAAAUCAAUUUGAGGAUUUAUAAAGAUCGUUAUUGAAAAAAUAUGACGAUAGAUAUCAUAUUAUUAUUAUUAUUUACGUAAUUAAUAGUUAUCUCAUGGGGAAUUAAUUAUUAUCAUAUACAUUAUACGGAGAGAGAGUAAAGUAGGGUUCAUGAGGCUCUUGCGUUACAUUUAUUAAACUCCCUCCCCCCUUCCGCCCAACAACUCACCCUCCCCCCCCUCACACCAACUCCUCCCCAUUCUCUACAUCACUCUUCCUUUUUCUUUCUUUCCAUCUCAGAAAAACAAAACAAAAAAUCUUCCGCCGCUAUCAACGACGACGAUGGAGAAUACCACAUCACAUUCAACACCGACGAUGUUGAUCAUGGCCGCCGCCGCCCUCCUCUUGUUUCUUUCCUUCUUCUUGUCCGCCGUCGAAUCCUCAUCGUCGCUAUCAGCUUCUAGUAAUAAACCUACUACAUCACCACCACCACCGGUCCGCCGCCAGCUCUCCGCAACAACCGCCGCGGAUUCUUCCUGCAGCACCGCUGUGUGCAUGGAGCUUCGAAAAAUGAUAAAGUCCCGACGUCAACAAGCUGGCCGCCGUGAGAACAAGAGCUACACCGCCGGCGAGCAUCAAGAUCGUCAAGAACAAGACAGCGGCGGGGGAGGAGGUGGAGAGAUAGACAUGAGGUACGGCGUUGAGAAGCGGUUGGUCCCUUCCGGCCCAAACCCUCUCCACAACUAGCUAGAAGAAUCAAACUCCGAGAAUCUCCUAUUUCCCGGUCGAUGGUAAACGACGUCGUAUUAUUAGCCUCAAACAACACUGUCCAUAUUAUUUGUUUCGUUUCGUACUUUUUUUGUCCUUUUCCUUCCAGAAAUCCGGUGCGGCGUCGUUUAUGAUCAACCGCGGUGAACUGAUCUAGCGUAUAGAGAGUAUUAUGAAGAUCACUUGGUUUCUGAUGCUUCUUCCAUUUCUUGUUUGGCUUCGCAAAGAUAUUAAUUAAAUUGUUUUUUUUAUAUAAUUAAUAUAUUUUUAUCAGGGGGAAAUUCAAAUGGUGGUGGAAUUUAAUUAUUAUUAUUAUUAUUAUAUAUAUAUAUAUGGGUUCAAGAGAUACUCAUGAAUUUCAUUAAUUUGUCGGCUGGCUCCCCCUUAAUUCUCUUUUAUUUUUUGUUGCCCUUAUUCCAUGGUAUGCAUGUGUGCAUUAAAUUUGCCGACUUCAGUAGUAAGUUUGUCACCUUCACCGUAUUUACUUCCUCCUUCAACCUCCCUAUUCUCCGACUCUUUCUGUCCAUCAAGCUAAGUGUACGUACACACAUAUAUACAGUCGCCCAUGCAUGUGGGAGGUGUGUAACCGAUUGAUGGUAAUUUGGUGUCACGAGUUACCACCUAGAUCAUUUGACGGUUAACAUGAUCGUGGCAGUAAGCAUUUCGUGAUGUAUAAUAUAUAAUCGAAGGUUAGCAAAUAUGUAUUCCGUUAGUUCAAAAAUUGAACAAGCAUAUAUCCCACGUGCCAUACUCUUUUCAUUCCACCGUUUAAUUAAUAGUAGUUAGACCACUAAUUAUAGUACUAUAAUAAAUAUUGCACCUGCCACUUGGUGAUUAACCGUUUACCUUAACGACCAUAUGGUCAAAUUUUUAUCAUAUUUCGGUUAUGAUUUGUUUUCCAAUAAUGUAGUUUCGAUGGUUGGGGAUAAUAAGAUGUCAAGAUAGAAAAGCGAGUACAAACUAAGUAUAUAUAUACCAACCCAAGUAUAUUUUUAUUUGAUAGAUAUCUAAUUAAGAGUUUAUCUUACUUUAAAGUACUCUGACACUUUAUUUUGUUCAAUUAGUGAAGAAAUUCAAGCCCUCGAAGAAAGUAGUAAGCUCAACCAAUAUUGCUUCAUCCGACAAGUAGCUGACUAGCUUAGACCACCACCGAGAGACUACUAACUUUGUAUUAUCUUUUACUAUCCACUAGAACCUAACCAGAUACGAAGAGCACAAACGACAAGUAAGAAAAAAAUUUCAAUACAAAUCACAUAAUAUGGGAGGCUAUUUGAAUUCUGAACUAUCAAUUUAAUAACGGCACAAUAUAAAGAAAGAACCACCCUCACAACUCGUUCCACCCCACCCACAUGUUUAUAAUUGCAAAAAGAUUAUGAAUGUUAAUUGUAACACAACUCAUGUCAAUAAGUGGCUAACAAGUAACAAAGAAAAGGAUACAAAAUAUGUGGAAAACAAAAUAAAAAAGUAUUCAAAUCUAAAAUCUUUUUGUAAAAAAAAAAAAGUAUUCAAAUGCUAUUUGAUUCUCACUAGUAGCAGACAGUUGAUCGGAUCUUCCUCUGGGAAAGACCACCAAAAAAAUGGCGCGUCAUCUCCUUCUCUUCCUCCUCAUCGGUCUCCUCCACACUAUCGCCCUCUCGAAAACCCUCAAACGCGACGGUAAAUGACUGAAUUCACCAGAUCUGACCUCCUCCGCCGCGGCGGAUUGAACGGAUAUAAACUGAUUUCAUUUCGAUGCAGUGAAGGCACUGAACGAGAUCAAGUCGUCACUGGGAUGGAGAGUUGUGUACGCCUGGGUAGGAGACGACCCUUGCGGCGGCGACGGCCUCCAGCCUUGGUCCGGCGUCACCUGCUCCACUCAGGGAGAUUACAGAGUCGUCACCGAAUUGUAAAGUUUGUGAACAGUGUAUACCUUAAGUUCUUCCCGCCUAUGGGGUUUGAAUGGUGAGUGAUUGAUGCUUUUGUUUUGUAUUGGUAGGGAAGUGUAUGCAGUGUCGAUUGUCGGUCCAUUUCCUACUGCGGUGACGAAUCUGCUGGAUCUCACCAGAUUGUGAGGCUCCUUCUUGCCUUUGCAUUUUCACUUCAUUGUAUUAGAGUUUAUGUUUUCUGAAUGUUUGAUGCUGAAUAGGGAUUUUCAUAAUAACAAGCUGACAGGGCCGAUCCCUCCUCAAAUUGGGAGGUUGAAGCGUCUCAAGAUACUGUAUAGCCCCUUGCCUUGCUUGAUUGCUUUCUGUUUUUAGCCAGUUUUGAUUGGAUUCAUGGUGUGAAGUUGUGUUUCUAUCUUAGGAAUUUGAGGUGGAACAAGUUGCAAGAUUCACUUCCUCCUGAAAUCGGCGAGCUUAAGAGUUUGACACAUUUGUGAGUUGAUCAUUCAUUCGUUUGACACAAUAAUGUGAUUGUUUACGCCGAUUUCAAGUUGAUGUUAAUAUGGAAAAUGUUGUUGGAAGGUAUUUGAGCUUCAAUAAUUUCAAAGGAGAGAUUCCAAGGGAGCUAGCUAAUCUUCCCGAGCUUCGAUAUCUGUACUUGCAAGAGAAUAGGUUCUCGGGGAGAGUUCCUGCAGAAUUGGGAACGUUGCAGAAUCUUCGCCACUUGUAUGUAGUAACCAUCCCAUCUUCUCUGUUGAUUCUUGCUGUGUUAUGGCCUAGGGGUGUAGCCCUUUUAUCCAGUUUUCGGUAUGUGUAGGGAUGUUGGCAACAAUCAUUUGGUGGGUACUAUAAGAGAACUAAUCCGGAUUGAGGGUUGUUUCCCUGCGCUUCGCAACUUGUAAGUUCAUUUCAUCCUCACCAUGGGGAGCCUGUGAGUUGCUAAUGUGAGAUUAUUUAACGUGACUGAUUGCAUUUGUGUUCUUGUUUCUCUAGCUAUCUGAACAAUAAUUAUUUUACCGGAGGAGUCCCUACGCAGCUAGCUAACUUGACAAACUUAGAAAUCUUGUAAGCUUCCGUGCAUUCUUUCCGUUUUCUUUCUUCUGUAAAUUCCUUGAACAAUUCUCUUUCCAUGUCCGCUCUCCCUCAAAGAUUAUCUUCAAGUUCUAUGUGUCCUGUUUUCUCUUACCUUAAUACGUUUCUGGCAGGCACCUAUCCUAUAACAAGAUGACUGGAGUAAUACCCAUUGGACUUGCUUCCAUCCCGAAGUUGACAUAUCUGUAAGUUUCUUCAACGAGUUUUAGUUCCUUCAUUUCCAUCAGAUUACCGUUUGAGAUCACUGAAUCUAUAACACUUACAGGUACAUCGAAGGAAGCUCGUUCAAGCCUGGCGUAAAUCCAAUAGGCAUGCACAAAGUCUUCGAAGUAUCUGAUGCAGAUUUUGUAGUUUAAAAACCCUUAGCUAAUUUUUUGUACUCUAAUUUAUUUCACACUUUCUCUGUUACAAGCCUAUACAUAGAGAGAGUUGAUGCUGUUAAAUGUAUGGAACACAACCCAAAAUCAUGCUAAAAGCCAUUGUCUAGUAGUUCUCAUCAAUGUUUUGAAUAUAGCACCUGAAGGUUCGGUCGGUUCUAGCAUCGUUCAAUUAGGGUUUAUAAUAGUUUGAACAAUCGAACUGCAUACGGUUAGUUUUAGUGAUACUAUCUUCGGUAUGGUUCUGGAGAUCAUUGUUCUAACUGCUAAUCCUUCAUUCAUUGUGCUAAGCUUUCACAUUUCAUGAUAUGGAACUGUUCGUAAAACCACAAAUUUUACCAUCGUUUUAAAAAAUCGCACCGAAAUGGAUAGUUUGACUUGUCUGAUCUUAAACCGCUCAUAAAAAUAGUCUGGCACGAUCCAGAUAUAUCAAAGUUAAAGACUUUAAUUUGUAACCUAUUAAAUGGUUGAACCACAUUUGAAAAACGUUCUUUCCAACCCAAUCCAAAUUCCUAAAGCAUCCUAAUAUACAAAAUUAAAUGAUAAUAUUCCUUGAAAUAAACUUAAGUGGCCGCUUUAAUUACCAUCCAAUAGUUAAGUAUAGUUAAUUUAUGAUUAGAUAAAUCAAACCAGGCCGUUAUUUCAGUUCUGUUUCUUGUCGGGUUUUCUAAUCACUUGUCCAUUUUUAACUAACCUCCAUUUUCUUUUCAGAUUUUCUCCCUUUCAUUUCUUCUUCUUCUUUCCUCUUCAGGCUUCGUGUUCCUCCACAGAGCCUAACAGGAACGAGGAAUGUGAUCUCAUCAAAAUUAAAUUUUCAGAUUUAUCAAAACUACGAUGUCGAGUUUCAAUGUUCUUCUCCUUCUCUGUUCAAUCAUCCUAUCAAGUUUCUUCACCCUAUCGUACUCUGAUCAUCCUCACUAUGAAGAUGUCCACCAUGCUCACCACAAGAUGAAGGACCCGGAUGAAAUCACCGUCACGAUCAAAUCAGGCGCCGCUGUAUCCCACACUGCCGACGACUACGUCUGCGCAACUCUCGAUUGGUGGAGGAAAGACAAAUGCGAUUACCGACACUGCCCGUGGGGAAACGCUGGAAUUCUUGAUGUGGUAAUGUGUUUGUAACGGAAAUGUCUUUAUUAUUGGGUGAUCUUCGGGAACUGAUUCGUUGAUUUUGGUUUGAAUCAUGCAGGAUCUUAACAAUACACUUUUGGCCAAAGCUAUCAAGGGUAAGUAAAAAGUUCUGGGAUUUUUUUUCAGUCACCUUUAAGAUGUUCGAUGAAAUGCCUCAAUGAGGAAAUAAUUGCCCAUUUUUUAUGUGUUGUGUGUAGCGUUUGAUCCGUUGAGGCUUAGAGUGGGAGGAUCAUUGCAGGAUCUGGUGACUUAUGAAGUUGGAGGAGCUGUCGGUAUUCAUCCCAGCUUCGUGAAGGACAAAGAUGUGAUGCUUGGGUUCAAACCGGGGUCUCUUCCCAUGAAAAGAUGGGACGAGCUUAAUGAAUUCUUCGCUAAAACUAAGUGAGUUGUUCAUAAAUUAGAAAACUAUAAGUAAUUUUCUUUCUCUACCUAACCAAGUUGAUUGCUUUUGUUUGUAGUACCAAAGUAAUUUUUGGUUUGAAUGAGCUCUCUGGCAAGAAAAAGGAAAACCCGUCGACGACUCAAAUGGUAGGAGACUGGGACCCUACUAAUGCUCGCGAUUUCAUGAACUACACUGUUCAAAAGGGAUACAAGAUUGAUGCCUAUGAAUUGGGUACGUCUUCAUCAUAAAAGUAUUAAAAACUAUGAUCUUCUAUUGAUGGGUGAUGACAUUGAUUGAUUGCUCACAUCUUUUUAUAGGAAAUGAGUUGUGUGGUGAUGGAGUAGAUGCUAAGAUAGAUCCGGAGCAGUAUGCAAAAGAUACUAAAGAGCUAAGGAAAGUCUUGAAUGAAUUGUACCCGGAUCCUAAGUCCAGGCCCCAAGUUCUGGCUCCUGGAGGUUUCUUUUUCAAGGAAUGGUUCAAAACCUACCUUCAUGCUUGCGGACCAAACGUUAUCGAUGGCGUAACCCACCAUGUCUACAAUCUUGGAACUGGUAAAAUUUUCGAAAUUGUUAGCUCUUAGAGUGUUUGAUAUCCAAUGGUUGCUUUGGCUGGACCAUUGAUUGUGAAAGUUUGUGCCUUUUCUUUAUCAGUGCUUUAUACCCAUCUGUUUCUGUAUUCAUUAAACACCAACCUUUGAAAAUUUCCAGGUGGUGAUCCGAAGAUAAUAGACAGGAUUCAAGAUCCACAUUUCCUGAGCGAGGUAGUUCAGCUGUACAGGGACGUUCAGGAAGUAGCGGAGCAGUCUGGAUCAGGAGCAUCUCCUUGGGUCGGAGAGGGAGGCGGAGCUUACCUAAGCGGUGGUAUAAAUGUUCAAUCCACUUUCGUUGAUGGAUACUGGUACUUGGAUCAGCUUGGCUUGGCCGCAGUUCACAGCCAUAAGGCCUACUGCAGACAAGCCAUUGUUGGUGGAAACUACGGCUUCCUCAAAAACGACGUCUUUACCCCUAACCCUGAUUACUAUGGGUACCUUAACAUUUCGAUAGUAUCUUCAUAGAUCUUUCAACCUUAUUUGAGCUUUAGACUCACUUUCACAUUCUGCAUUUUGAUAAUCAGUGCACUAUUAUGGCAUCGGUUGAUGGGGACCGGAGUUCUAGCAACCAGCCACAACGGAUCUCCAUUCCUUAGGGCAUAUUCACAUUGCUCUAAGAAGAAGGUAUUGAUAUCUAAAGCCAGUUUUUCAACAUUCAAAUAUCUGCGUCUAACCAUUAGAAAAAUCCUGACAAGACAUUGUUUCUGGGUUUUGCUUUCUUUUUGGGCAGUCUGGAGUUACUCUGAUGCUGAUCAACAUGUCGAAAACUUCGACAUUCCAUAUCAUGAUCACCGACGAAUUGAACAACCACCACAAGGAUUCUGAUUCAAGCCAUCUCAAAGAGGAAAGAGAGGAGUACCAUUUGACACCAGAAGGAGGAAAUAUCACGAGCGAUGUCGUUCUUCUGAACGGAGUUCCGUUGCAGCUUACAGCUUCCGGUGACAUCCCGGAAAUGCCUCCGAAGCUUGCCCCAGCUUCAUCUCCGGUGACAAUGGUUCCUGGCUCUUUUGUUUAUGUAUCCAUUAAGGAUUUCAAGGCCCCUGCCUGCUGAGAAAGACCAGAGCUUUUUGGUCUCUUUUUGGAUUUCUUGGUUCCUUAUAAAAGGUGGUAAAGAAAACUUGAUCUACAAGUUAACUUCCAUUUUGUAACCUAAGGUCUCUGAUGAGGUUAAUCUAAUGGAAUAGAAAAAUAUUCUUUAAUUAAUAUAUAUUAUUGUAUAAAAUUCAUUAAGCAUGCUUACAUUUGUUAUUUAUUGAGUAAUUAUCAAUGAUAAUGUUGGAUAAUCUUUUUCACUUAAAAACCUGAUAUCACUCAAGGUAACUAAAAAUCUUAUCCACCUGAUUCACUUUUACAUUCCGUUUCAACAAAGUCCGACAAAAUCAUAGGCUUAUCCAAAUAACAGAUUUCAUAGCAAACAAUAACAAUAAAAUCUCUUGCUGAGCUAUAUAUAUAUCCACUGUACACACACACUUAGUUUUCUUCAAUACUCUGUGUUUCCUUUUCUGAUUCUACAAUGGCAGCAGCUUUCAGAGCUUUCCUCGUCUACUCACUCUUCCGCUCGACCCUCUCAGUGCUAUGCUCCGCUGACACUUCUAGGAUCACCGUCACGAUACAGUCAGUGAACUCCAUAGCGAAAACCGACAAUGAUUUCAUCUGUGCAACUCUAGAUUGGUGGCCCAAGAACAAGUGUGACUACAACCAGUGCCCUUGGGGACAAACCAGCGCCCUGAAUCUGGUAUAUAUGCCGGCUGUUCAUUUCCUUUUCGGUUGUUCUUAAUUGGGUUUUCGGUUCUGAUUAAUGGGUUUUGGUUGAAAACAUAUUUCAGGAUCUGAAGAACACCAAUCUGGCAACAGCUAUCAAAGGUAGGUAGAAAGUUCAUUGCUUUGAAAGCUUCCUUCAUCAAAGCUGUGAUCUAAUUAAUGUUGGUUUGUAGCUUUCGAUCCGUUGAGGAUUCGGGUUGGGGGGUCGUUGGAGGAUCUGGUGGUUUACAAAGUUGGGAAAGCGAUCAAGAGAUUCCCAAAGUUUAAGAAGCUGAAAGGUGGGAUGUUUGGGUUCAGCAGAGGUACUCUCACCAUGGAUAGAUGGGAUCAGCUCAAUCAGCUUUUCACCAAAACAAAGUAAUUAAGUUCAUACUAAUAAUCCGACUGUUAGUUACCAAAAAUGACGAAUCAUAUUAAAUCUGACGGUUUUUUACGAUUUCGUUGUAGUGCCAAAGUCAUCUUUGGCCUCAAUGCUCUGGUUGGGAAAAGAAAGAAAGAUGAAUCUUCCACUCUCUGGAUCGGAGACUGGAACUCGCAGAAUGCUCGAGAUUUCAUGAACUAUACCGUUCAGAAGGGCUAUAAAAUCGACUCUUACGAACUCGGUAGUUCUCUGAAACGAUUCUUGUACAGAUCAGUUUUUUUCUUCUUGUACUAUCAAACCUCGAACCGUUUAACAUUACUUUUUUGUCAGGAAAUGAGCUGAGCGGCUCGGGGGUUUCUGCUCGGGUGGAACCUGAGCAGUAUGCAAAGGACACAAUCAAAGUCAGGAAAGCUGUAAAUGAAUUAUAUCCAGAUCCCAAUUCCAGGCCUUUAGUAUUGGGUCCUGCCGGAUUCUUCGAUAAGGAAUGGUUCAAGAAGUACCUUCAAGCUGUUGGACCGAACGUUGUCGAUGGCGUAACCCACCACAUUUACAAUCUCGGCGCAGGUAAAAACGUUACGUACCUUCAGGAAUUAGUAUCGGCCUAUCGGGUUCAUAUCAUUAAUUACUGUUUUGCAGGAGUGGAUUCCAAGCUGAUUAAUAAGGUUCAAGAUCCGUUCUUUCUCGACAAAGUGGCUCAGACGUUCAAGGAAGUUCAGGAUAUUGUCGAGCAAUCCGGAACCGCUGCAGCUCCGUGGGUCGGGGAAUCGGGUGGAGCUUUCAACAGCGGUGGAAAGGACGUUUCAAACACUUUCGCUAAUGGGUUCUGGUACUUGGAUCAGCUCGGUAUGACCUCGACUUUCGGCCACAAGGCUUACUGCAGACAAUCCCUUGUUGGUGGAAACUAUGGAUUGCUUAGGAGUGAUAGUUUCACUCCAAAUCCCGACUAUUAUGGGUAACACAAAAAAGAUUCCGUCUUUUUGUUUUGUUUUUAUCUCGUAACUGUUGCUCUGAAUGUUCGGAUCGUUUGCUUUGUGAUAGUGCACUUUUGUGGCAUCGGUUGAUGGGGACCAUAGUGUUGAGAACGAUCCAUGACGGGUCUCCAUACCUGCGGGCAUACUCACAUUGCUCCAAGAAAAAUGUAAAGUAUCUUCAGGAUUUCUGAUAAUCCAAAUCCGGACAGGAAUAUGAUUUCUGAUUAUCUACAUUUUUUUUUAAUUUGUGGCAGUUUGGAGUGACUUUGCUGCUGAUCAACAUGUCGAAUUCGACGACAUUCAACGUUUGGGUGACUAACGAUCUGAACCUUUACCGGACAACGACCGAUUCGACCAUUCUGACAGAGGAUAGGGAAGAGUACCAUCUGACACCUGAAGGUGGGAAUAUUCAGAGCGAUGUUGUGCAGCUGAACGGGACUCCAUUGAAGCUGAGUUGUGGUGAGAUUCCGAUGAUGGAUCCGAAGCUCGUACCGGCUUCGUCCACGGUGACUGUUGCUCCGGAUUCGUUCGUUUAUGUCAACAUCAAGGAUUUCAAGGCACCUGCUUGCUAGAAAAGAAACAGAAGAGGAUAUGCUUUUCUUUUAGUUUAGUAGUUAGGAAAAGCUCAGGAAAAAUUGUUAGAUUAGAUCUAAUCGGCUAUGUAAAGAAUAAUCAUGAUCCAAUUGAAAUCGAAAAAUUGUUAGAGAUUCAAUUCCAUUCUUUUGUGAUGUUGUUGUUUUGGUCUUCUUCUGAAAGUUGGGUAAAGGGCAACUGUGCGAAAAGUUGUGAUUUUAAAAAACCAAAGAAAACAUGUUGGUUUAGUGGAUCGGACAUGUGUUGGGUCUGGUUAGUGAACUUGUGCUUAUGUUCUUAGAUUAGUCGCUAUGCAUGGUUGAACCAUUCUAUCAUGGUUCGAACACAUAGUAAAAUAAGUUAAAAGCAAUAACGGUCACUUAAGUUUGGGUUAGGUGACAUUUUUGUCACUCAAUAUAAGGCAGGUAACAUUUUCGUCACUCUAGUUUGAGGUAGGUAACAUUUCAAUCACUUAACUUUUUGCUUAAGUUUGGGAUAGGUAACAUUUGAGUGACUUUAGUUUGAGGUAAGUAACAUGUCAUUCAACUUUUUGCUCAAAUUUGAGGUAAGUAAUAUUUUCGUCACUCAAUAUAAAGCAUGUAACAUUUCAGUCACUCUAGUUUGAGGUAGGUAACAUUUCAGUCACUCUAGUUUGAGGUAGAUAACAUUUCAGUCACUCAACUUUUUGGUCAAGUUUUACAUUUCAGUCACUCAAUAUAAGGCAGGUGACAUUUCAGCCACUAUAGUUUGAGAUAGGUAGCAUUUCAGUCACUAAACUUUGUUUCUCAACUUCUGUUACAUAUUCCACCCAAAAAGUUAAUGUGACUAAAAGACUCAAUUUCUGUGUUUAUUUCAUCAGACCGAAUAGGAUACAUGGUUGAACCGUCUUAUUAUAGUCGAUAAAAAUUCAACCCCGGCUUGGUAAAAAAAAUGAAAAAAAUCAUCACUAUUUCAUUUAGGAAGAAGAGAAAAAACCAUGCUAACCCUGUUGUUCAAUCAAUAGGAUACCUUACCAUUUCAGGAACCAGUUAAUGUCACACACCAAACAUUCCUGAAACUGAAACCAAAAGCUUUCCAGGCUUUUGCCUCCAUUCUAUCCAAAAACCCAAAGGGCAAAGAAAAUGCUUUCUUUACUUGCUAGUUGAACCUAAUCCAUCCUUUAUGAAAUGUUUUCAGGCUCCAUCUUCAAAUAACCGAACCCCUUCCGUUAGAAAUCGACAGACAAUAAACGGAAUAAGAAAAAAACCACCAUCUCUUUUCGCAACAAAAUCGAUAAAAGAUUGUUUACAAUUCCAUGGGGAUUGAGCAAGCCAUUGCAGUAGCUGCAGCUGCAUUAGCCAUUUCUGUUAUUGAAGAAGUACAAGAAGAGGCAUGGAUUCCGGUUCCAGAGCCAAAAAGGACAUUGCAGGAAGCAGCAUCUCAUCAAUCCUCUGCCACCAAGAGUCAAGGUAUGCAAGGUGGUUUCCAAUCAAGUUCUGGAUCAAUAAGGUAUGUGGAAGGGGCCUCAUCAGAUAGCAAUGGAGAUGAUGGAACAACACCCCGAAAGGUCCUUGUUCCGAUUUCUUCGAUGGCUAGGACUGAUAAUCCUGCUGCAGCAGCAAUGAAGAAAGAUCCAAGCUUUAAUGAAACCCCUACUGUUUCAUCUAUAAAGAAGACACCUUCAUUUGUGGAUAAAACUGUUCCUAAUUCCAUGCCAACUUCCACCAAAGCUGGGAUUCCAUUGAAGAGACCUGAAGCUUCUUCUACUGCAAAACCUGCUGCAACUGGUAAGCCAGCUGGAACCCCAGUAUCUUCUUCCCAAGCAGCAGAUGCAUGGGAGAAAAUGCAGCUGGAGAAGCUGAAAGCGAAGUAUAAGCAGCAGACUGAUCACAUCAUUUCGUGGGAGGACGGGAGGAAGGCUAAAGCAAGGCGUCGACUCGACAGAGCUGAGGUUUGUUUUCUCCAUUACAUCCAAAUAAUUCGAACUAACAGAUUGUCUGAUAACAUGCUUGUUUCUUCUUCGUGUUGGAUGAACUUUUGGGCAGAGUGAAAUGGAGAGGAGCAGGCUGAGAGCAUUGGACAAGUUUCGGGGGGACAUGGAGAUAGUGAAUAAGAUUGCAGGAGGAGCAAAGGCGAAGACAGCUGAGAGGAUGAAGAAGGAAGAGGUUAAAUUGAAGGAGAAAGCUGAUGCUAUCAGAAGAACAAGUGGCAAAUUCCCAGCAAGAAGGCCUUGUUUAUGCAUCUGAUCAUAUUAUGUUUGACUAAUAAUCUGUUGUAAUAUAAUGUUUGUAGCACUUUGUUGUGUUCAGGAAAUGUGUAUGCAUCUGAACAUCCGAAAUUAACUCCAAAUCCUGCCAAAUUCACCUCCAAUUCCGACUUCGAAAACGUAUCCUAUGUCUAUAAUCAGUUCGAAAUGCCAGAUCCAGUAAUGAAAUGAAGAUAAACACCCUUCUGCAUAUAUAUAAUUAAGAACACUCCGACAGAUAAACCAGACACAAAUUACAUUACUACAACAGCAACAACACACCGAUCAUAAAGUUAAUUAAACUCCACAUAAUCCAUACUUAUAUUCCCCCACCAAUCCACCAUACACCUUAAUUAAUUAAGUUAUUAAUCACUUGAAGAACCCUUCAGCCAUCUUAGCAUACCCGCCAAGCCCACCUCCUUCAGAUUUCUCCUCCUUACCGGCGGCGCCUUCCUCGGCCGGCUUGCCGGCUCCCUCAGCGGUCUUCGAACCGCCGCUGUACUGACGGAGAUAUUCCUCCGCCUUGUCGACGUACUGGCCAUAGCCCUUCUCGUCCAGCUUCCCGUACUUGUUGCCGGCCUCGAUCAGGUCCUCCGCCGCGUCGGCCACCUUGGCCUUGUCUAUGCCGUCGGCCGAUUUGCUCUGCAUCGCCGACUGGGCAGCUGCCGCCACCACUUUUGCGCUCGCCAUCAGCUCCGCGUUCGACGGCGCCGCUACCUCUUCCUUCUUGUCGCCGGCCGGGGCCGGGGUCGGUGCUGAGGGGUGUUCAGUUUCCUUGUCGCCACCGGUGGCUCCGGGGAGCUUGGACUCGGCUGCCUUGGUGAUGGAGGAAAGUAGGCCGUCCAUAAUUAAUUCUAGAUGCCAAAGGAGAAAGAAAUUAAAGCAGAGAGAUUUGUGGGAAGUGACUGAGUGAUUGGAGAUUGGAGGAUACGGUGGUUUAUAUAAUGCUUAGGAUAUUUUUGGAUAUCUUGAUUUUUUUUUAUAAAUACGCGAGAUGGACACGUAUUACUUGUGAUAUACGUGUGUACUUGUAUUUUAUACAGUAAUAUACGUGUUGUUUGAGUCUAAAACCUCUCGACGAAUUAAAUCGCUCAUGAAUAGUUGUAUUUGAUGUGAAAUUUUUUUGUUCAUGAUGAGUCGGGUAUGUUUAAUCAAAUAGGUUUGAGUUCGAACAGAAAUAAUUUUGGAUAUAUGCUUUGUUAAUAAAUUUAAUAAUGUAAUGUAUGUUUGCCUCGAAUAUUAUAUAUAUAUAUAUAUAAUUUAUUAUUAUGUNNNNNNNNNNNNNNNNNNNNNNNNNNNNNNNNNNNNNNNNNNNNNNNNNNNNNNNNNNNNNNNNNNNNNUCGAUCGAUUCGUGAUCAGCCCGGCUAAUCACAAAAAAAGCUAUACCAUUUUUACAAAUUAAAAAAAACUAUUAUAUUAGUUAAUAUUGGAGUAGGGAGUGUUUGGCAGGAGUAAGAGUUGCGACGUGGAAGAAUGAUGGCCACAAGAAGUUUAGAAAGGUGGUGACUAUUGAGUAUAAAAGUAUUAUCUUCCUGCUGUUCCAAUAUCUAGAUAUCUUUAUGACAAAAAAUGGGACCAGAAAACACGAUAAUUGUUUUUAUUUGCCGACAAUAACUCUCCAAGUACUCAACUCCGUGAUUAAUACACACCAAUUCAAUUAUAUUUUAAGAAGUUAAUUUGAUGUGCCAAUUAUCGAUACAAAAAAGAGACAUUCUGGUGCACAGUAGAAACUAUUCAGGUGGUUUGUUUAGUUUUGUAAAGAAAUUAUUAUGAACAAAUUCAUGGUUAGAUCCCUUAUGGAUAGUGGAUAGAUCAUUGAGAUUUUUGAAAGAGAAUUUGCAUCAUGUUCCGUGAGUAAUACACAUCGAUAUUUAUCAAUAUAAAAUAAAAAAAUAGAAAGUAAACAUUAUAUUGGUGUUUAUUUUGUGAAUUGUGUUGGAUUAGAAUUAAAAACUUUUAAAUUAUCACACACAUAAUUUUACCAUCAGAAUAAUUCCACUUCAAUACAUUGUAGUUGUUACGGUAAGGUUAAGUAAAAAUGAAAACCAAACUCUUAAUUUUAAUUUAAUCAUAUAGUUAAAGAAUUUCCAAAUAAGAAUAUGAACAAAAAUGUAAACAUCUAAUUCUAGCUAUUAUUCAAUUCCCAAAGCCACGUUACACAACAACACCAUCACAUGACUAACCACAAACAUAAACAGAAAAGAACCAGAUAGAAAAACAACAAGUACAACUGCAACAUAAUUAAUUAACACGCAGAUUUUUCAGCGGCGGGGAAUUAAACUAAAAUAAAAAAACAUGCAUAAUUAUUUUCAAUUUUCAUCCAUUUACUUCUUGGCAGUGGCGUUGUGGAUGGCCUGCUUCCCCUGCUCGACGUAGUGGGUGGUGCCGGCGACGACUGUGUCCUUAACGCCGAUCGCCCCCUCCUUGGUGUUGGCCACGAUCCCCGGGCCGGCCGGUGCAACCACGGCUGGCUUCUUCUCCUCGGCCUUGCCGCCGCCGGGCAUCAUGUCUUGGGCUUUCUUCAAUAGUCCGUCCAUAUCUAGUUAUAAACAAGUAGGAUUCAAAGAGAUGGGAAAUUGGUACGUAAGAGAUUUUAGUGUGUUUUGAUGGGUUUCAUGGGAUAUAUGGUACGUACUAGUUAUAUAGUGGUACAAAUUUUGGGAAGUUUGGAAGAUAUUUUGAUUGGCUUUUGCUGUGUGUGGCUUACAAUUGGCUUGCCGACAUCGAAAUGAACAGGUUCUACGUGAUAGUCUUUACA
rnacentral:lncRNA from 1 species